AAGUCGUAACAAGGUUUCCGUAGGUGAACCUGCGGAAGGAUCAUUAACAUCUUUUGAAUUGGUGGUGGUGGGUGUGAGUUUCAUUAUUGAGAUUUCCACUCAUCAUCCUCAACCCCAUUGUGUGCAUGUAUGUGUGAGUGUGAGUUGGUAAAGCUUCGGCUUAGCCUUUCCUUCACCUCACUCAUCUCAUUUAUACAACCCCAAACCCCUUCUUCUCAUCACACUAGACUGACUUUCAAUCCUCGUUUUCGCUCCCUACCAACGGAGCAAAACAUCAAUCAGCAUACAACUCUUAGCAACGGAUAUCUAGGCUCUC
rnacentral:misc_RNA from 1 species